rnacentral:tRNA from 1 species
GCUCCUAUGGCUCAGUUGGUAGAGCGCAUCACUUUCAAUGAUGAGGUCCUCAGUUCGAAUCUGAGCGGGAGCC